rnacentral:rRNA from 1 species
AUACGUAGGGAGCAAGCGUUGUCCGGAUUUACUGGGUGUAAAGGGUGCGUAGGCGGCUUUACAAGUCAGGCGUGAAAUAUAUGGGCUUAACCCAUAGACUGCGUUUGAAACUGUAGAGCUUGAGUGAAGUAGAGGUAGGCGGAAUUCCCGGUGUAGCGGUGAAAUGCGUAGAGAUCGGGAGGAACACCAGUGGCGAAGGCGGCCUACUGGGCUUUAACUGACGCUGAGGCACGAAAGCAUGGGUAGCAAACAGGAUUAGAUACCCUGGUAGUCCAUGCCGUAAACGAUGAUUACUAGGUGUGGGGGGUCUGACCCCUUCCGUGCCGGAGUUAACGCAAUAAGUACCCCGCCUGGGGAGUACGAUCGCAAGGUUGAA